AUUGAACGCUGGCGGCAGGCUUAACACAUGCAAGUCGAACGAGUGGCGGAAGGGUGAGUAAUGUCUGGGAAACUGCCCGAUGGAGGGGGAUAACUACUGGAAACGGUGGCUAAUACCGCAUACCAUCGGAUGUACCCAUAUGGGAUUAGCUAGUAGGUGGGGUAAAGGCUCACCUAGGCGACGAUCCCUAGCUGGUCUGAGAGGAUGACCAGCCACACUGGAACUGAGACACGGCCCAGACUCCUACGGGAGGCAGCAGUGGGGAAUAUUGCACAAGGGGCGCAAGCCUGAUGCAGCCAUGCCGCGUGUAUGAUGAAGGCCUUCGGGUUGUAAAGUGCUUUUAGCGGGGAGGCGUUACCCGAAGAAGAAGCACCGGCUAACUCCGUGCCAGCCGCCGCGGUAAUAC
rnacentral:rRNA from 1 species